rnacentral:rRNA from 4 species
CGAAUGAGGAGAUUCAUCGUCAGCUUAUUCAGUAUUAAUGCAGGCUAUGAUGUGAUAAUAGAAUCCUUGUGGUCACUAGAUUAUACUUGCUUGUAUUAUUUUUGCUGGGUAUGUCGGCGUGCACUUCUCCUCUAGUAGAACGUCGCAACCCGUUGGAUGUUUAUCUAUGGCUUGAAUGGUAGCCUUUGAUAUUUUUUAUAUUGAAGACCUUCGAUGUCCUGAUAAACUGUUUGACGGUAUACAUAUGGUAUUGAGCCGCAAUUAUUUGCGUUAGACUUGCCGCAAGUAUGACUUUAUUCUAGUAGUGCGGAUCUAAUGCCGUCGCUGGACAAAGUCUGCUGUUAGCUGUGUAA